GGUGCUGUGGCUCAGUGGUAGAGCACUACCCUUGCAUGCCUGAGGCCCUGGGUUCGAUUCCUCAGCACCA
rnacentral:tRNA from 1 species